rnacentral:tRNA from 1 species
CGCGGGGUGGAGCAGUGGUAGCUCGUCGGGCUCAUAACCCGGAGGUCGUGGGUUCAAAUCCCAUCCCCGCAA